CCUACGGGCGGCUGCAGUGGGGAAUAUUGGACAAUGGGCGGAACCCUGAUCCAGCGACGCCGCGUGAGUGAAGAAGUAUUUCGGUAUGUAAAGCUCUAUCAGCAGGGAAGAAAGAAAUGACGGUACCUGACUAAGAAGCCCCGGCUAACUACGUGCCAGCAGCCGCGGUAAUACGUAGGGGGCAAGCGUUAUCCGGAUUUACUGGGUGUAAAGGGGGCGUAGACGGCGAUGCAAGUCUGAAGUGAAAGGCGGGGGCCCAACCCCCGGACUGCUUUGGAAACUGUAUGGCUGGAGUGCAGGAGAGGUAAGUGGAAUUCCUAGUGUAGCGGUGAAAUGCGUAGAUAUUAGGAGGAACACCAGUGGCGAAGGCGGCUUACUGGACUGUAACUGACGUUGAGGCUCGAAAGCGUGGGGAGCAAACAGGAUUAGAUACCCUUGUAGUC
rnacentral:rRNA from 1 species